rnacentral:rRNA from 1 species
AGAGUUUGAUCAUGGCUCAGAUUGAACGCUGGCGGUAUGCCUAACACAUGCAAGUCGAACGAGGUAGCAAUACCUAGUGGCGGACGGGUGAGUAACGCGUGGGAAUCUGCCUUUAGAUGGGGGAUAACGAGCCGAAAGGUUCGCUAAUACCGCAUAUGCCGUAAGGUGAAAGGAGUAAUCCGUCUAGAGAUGAGCCCGCGUCCGAUUAGCUAGUUGGUGGGGUAAAGGCCUACCAAGGCGACGAUCGGUAGCUGGUCUGAGAGGACGACCAGCCACACUGGGACUGAGACACGGCCCAGACUCCUACGGGAGGCAGCAGUGGGGAAUAUUGCACAAUGGGCGCAAGCCUGAUGCAGCGACGCCGCGUGAGGGAUGACGGCCUUCGGGUUGUAAACCUCUUUCAAUAGGGACGAAGCGCAAGUGACGGUACCUAUAGAAGAAGCACCGGCCAACUACGUGCCAGCAGCCGCGGUAAUACGUAGGGUGCGAGCGUUGUCCGGAAUUACUGGGCGUAAAGAGCUCGUAGGUGGUUUGUCGCGUUGUUCGUGAAAACUCACAGCUUAACUGUGGGCGUGCGGGCGAUACGGGCAGACUAGAGUACUGCAGGGGAGACUGGAAUUCCUGGUGUAGCGGUGGAAUGCGCAGAUAUCAGGAGGAACACCGGUGGCGAAGGCGGGUCUCUGGGCAGUAACUGACGCUGAGGAGCGAAAGCGUGGGGAGCGAACAGGAUUCGUUACCCUGGUAGUCCAA